rnacentral:rRNA from 1 species
ACAGCAGUCGCCGCGGUAAUACGGAGGGAGCUAGCGUUGUUCGGAAUUACUGGGCGUAAAGCGCACGUAGGCGGUUAUUCAAGUCAGAGGUGAAAGCCCGGGGCUCAACCCCGGAACUGCCUUUGAAACUAGAUGACUGGAAUCUUGGAGAGGUCAGUGGAAUUCCGAGUGUAGAGGUGAAAUUCGUAGAUAUUCGGAAGAACACCAGUGGCGAAGGCGACUGACUGGACAAGUAUUGACGCUGAGGUGCGAAAGCGUGGGGAGCAAACAGGAUUAGAUACCCCUGUAGUCCCUGUCUCUUAUAC